GCGGGAGUAGCUCAGUUGGUAGAGCACAACCUUGCCAAGGUUGGGGUCGCGGGUUCGAGUCCCGUCUCCCGCU
rfam:Meiothermus silvanus DSM 9946, complete genome.